rnacentral:rRNA from 1 species
AUUGAACGCUGGCGGCAGGCUUAACACAUGCAAGUCGAGCGAGCGGCGGACGGGUGAGUAAUGUCUGGGAAACUGCCUGAUGGAGGGGGAUAACUACUGGAAACGGUAGCUAAUCCCGCAUACCAUCAGAUGUGCCCAGAUGGGAUUAGCUAGUAGGUGGGGUAAUGGCGCACCUAGGCGACGAUCCCUCGCUGGUCUGAGAGGAUGACCAGCCAAACUGGAACUGAGACACGGUCUAGACUCCGACGGGAGGCAGCAGGGGGGAAUAUUGCACAAUGGGCGCAAGCCUGAUGCAGACAUGCCGCGUGUGUGAAGAAGGCCUUCGGGUUGUAAAGCACUUUCAGCGAGGAGGCGGUACUCGCAGAAGAAGCAACGGCGAACUCCGUGCCAGCAGCCGCGGUAAUUC